GGCUAAACCAUGCACCGAAGCUGCGGCAGCGACACUGUGUGUUGUUGGGUAGGGGAGCGUUCUGUAAGCCUGUGAAGGUGUGUCGUGAGGCAUGCUGGAGGUAUCAGAAGUGCGAAUGCUGACAUAAGUAACGAUAAAGCGGGUGAAAAGCCCGCUCGCCGGAAGACCAAGGGUUCCUGUCCAACGUUAAUCGGGGCAGGGUGAGUCGACCCCUAAGGCGAGGCCGAAAGGCGUAGUCGAUGGGAAACGGGUUAAUAUUCCCGUACUUGGUGUUACUGCGAAGGGGGGACGGAGAAGGCUAUGUUGGCCGGGCGACGGUUGUCCCGGUUUAAGCGUGUAGGUGUGUGUUCCAGGUAAAUCCGGUUCACUUUAACACUGAGGCGUGACGACGAGGCACUACGGUGCUGAAGCAACAAAUGCCCUGCUUCCAGGAAAAGCCUCUAAGCAUCAGGUAACAUCAAAUCGUACCCCAAACCGACACAGGUGGUCAGGUAGAGAAUACCAAGGCGCUUGAGAGAACUCGGGUGAAGGAACUAGGCAAAAUGGUGCCGUAACUUCGGGAGAAGGCACGCUGACACGUAGGUGAAGUGAUUUACUCAUGGAGCUGAAGUCAGUCGAAGAUACCAGCUGGCUGCAACUGUUUAUUAAAAACACAGCACUGUGCAAACACGAAAGUGGACGUAUACGGUGUGACGCCUGCCCGGUGCCGGAAGGUUAAUUGAUGGGGUCAGCGCAAGCGAAGCUCCUGAUCGAAGCCCCGGUAAACGGCGGCCGUAACUAUAACGGUCCUAAGGUAGCGAAAUUCCUUGUCGGGUAAGUUCCGACCUGCACGAAUGGCGUAAUGAUGGCCAGGCUGUCUCCACCCGAGACUCAGUGAAAUUGAACUCGCUGUGAAGAUGCAGUGUACCCGCGGCAAGACGGAAAGACCCCGUGAACCUUUACUAUAGCUUGACACUGAACAUUGAGCCUUGAUGUGUAGGAUAGGUGGGAGGCUUUGAAGUGUGGACGCCAGUCUGCAUGGAGCCGACCUUGAAAUACCACCCUUUAAUGUUUGAUGUUCUAACGUGGACCCGUUACCCGGGUUGCGGACAGUGUCUGGUGGGUAGUUUGACUGGGGCGGUCUCCUCCUAAAGAGUAACGGAGGAGCACGAAGGUUGGCUAAUCCUGGUCGGACAUCAGGAGGU
rnacentral:rRNA from 1 species